GUACACCUCCUACUAUCAGGGGUGAGGAGGUCGUGAUGAAGGUUACUAUCAGGGGUGAGGAGGUCGUGAUGAAGGUUACUAUCAGGGGUGAGGAGGUCGUGAUGAAGGUUACUAUCAGGGGUGAGGAGGUCAUGGUGAAGGUUACGACACUGUCAGACUAACCUGGUACACCUCCUACUAUCAGGGGUGAGGAGGUCGUGAUGAAGGUUACUAUCAGGUGUGAGGAGGUCAUGAUGAAGGUUACUAUCAGGGGUGAGGAGGUUGUGAUGAAGGUUACGACACUGUCAGACUUACCUGGUACACCUCCUACUAUCAGGGGUGAGGAGGUCGUGAUGAAGGUUACUAUCAGGGGUGAGGAGGUCGUGAUGAAGGUUACGACACUGUCAGACUUACCUG